rnacentral:lncRNA from 1 species
UUCUUUUUCUGUCAAACUGAAUUGCAGAUGGCCAGAGGUUCAGAAUUACAAAGGUUGAUUUAGAAAAAGGUACCAAUGCUUUUGGAAAUUUCUCAAGCAAAUCACUCAAUGCACUCUUCCCUAGCCAAGACAUCAUCAGGAAGCAGUAAGGACUGAGUCCUGCUUCACCCACAGGCCCCCAGGCUGACGCUCGGCCUGGUCCCUCAGAAGGUGCCUGUGGGGGCGGCCGCCACCAGGAGAGGAAGGGAGACGUCUAAUGGCACCCUGGGUCCUCCAGGCACACGGAUACAUAGGAGCUCAGCCACCAGCUUGACCGAGAACCUGCCUCUUCUGUCAGUUGUACUUACACUUUUGUCUGCUUUUAUGCUGAUAAAAUGCCACUGACGUCAGCUACAGC